GGCGCCGCUGGUUUUUCUUUUGCACUUUUCGAUUAGGAUUUUGCUUGAAUUUACUUAAAACAUUAGUAACAUUUUCAUUUUAUGGAGUUAAAACGGCUAAAAAGCUCAAUUAUUCUUCUUGUAUUCGAUUCGGAGGAGAAAGUAAGGAAAUUGGUUUUCAUGUAUAUUUGAGACCUUAGAUUGCCAGAGCAGGCAGAGCAAGCGUUAUAAGUAUUUUAUUAUACACACCAUGAGCGUACCAGAGAAAAUAGCAGCAGCAAUUCCUAUGCAACUGCUGUCGGGCCCGGCCGUGAAACUUGUUUAUACAAUAACCUGUAGUGGCGAAAAACAUACUCUUGUUUCCAUCCCAUUUGUCGUCAACAAUUUGAUUGAGAUUAGAUUCAAAUGGGAUUAUUCCAAAA